UACAGAGGUGGCAAGCGUUGUUCGGAAUUACUGGGCGUAAAGGGCUCGUAGGCGGCCAACUAAGUCAGACGUGAAAUCCCCAGGCUUAACUUGGGAACUGCGUCUGAUACUGGAUGGCUUGAGUGCGGGAGAGGGAUGUGGAAUUCCAGGUGUAGCGGUGAAAUGCGUAGAUAUCUGGAGGAACACCGGUGGCGAAGGCGGCAUCCUGGACCGACACUGACGCUGAUGCGCGAAAGCCAGGGGAGCAAACGGG
rnacentral:rRNA from 1 species